rnacentral:rRNA from 1 species
AGGACGAACGCUGGCGGCGUGCCUAACACAUGCAAGUCGAGCGGAGUUAACAAGAGGAAGUUUCGGAUGGAAUUUGUAAUUAGCGGCGGACGGGUGAGUAACGCGUGAGCGACCAACCUUGCACAGGGGGAUAACGGACCGAAAGGUUCACUAAUACCGCAUGAGACCACGGUGUUGCAUGACACAGAGGUCAAAGGAGCAAUCCGGUGCAAGACGGGCUCGCGUCCGAUUAGGUAGUUGGUGGGGUAAUGGCCCACCAAGCCUAUGAUCGGUAGCCGACCUGAGAGGGUGAUCGGCCACAUUGGAACUGAGAUACGGUCCAAACUCCUACGGGAGGCAGCAGUGGGGAAUAUUGGGCAAAAUGGGGGAAACCCUGACCCAGCAACGCCGCGUGAAGGAAGAAGGUUUUCGGAUUGUAAACUUCUGUCCUUGGUGAAGAGAAGAAGACGGUAGCCAAGGAGGAAGCCCCGGCUAACUACGUGCCAGCCGCAGC